rnacentral:tRNA from 1 species
UGGGACGUGGGGUAAGCGGAAACCCGUCCGGUCUCCAAAACCGGAAGACGUAGGUUCGAUUCCUACCGGCUCAG